rnacentral:lncRNA from 1 species
GAGCCGGGCACUGAUUGCGGCUCCGGGGCCGCACCGCGCUCCCUGCAGGCGAGGCGGCUGGAAAGUUGUUGAGCGGGGAAAGUUGCGAGACAAAAGCGAGGGGAGUGCGUCUCCGCUCCUUUGUUCUGCGUGGGGCGGGAGAGGAGGAGGGGGUGAGGACCUUUGCGAGAGAGACCGGCUGAGCCAGAGGCGCGCUCCGAGAGCCGGCGUGAUCAGCAGCAAUUAGGCUCUCCUGCAGAUCCCCCCUCUCCCCCCCAGCAAACCCAGCCGGGCGCUGCCAGGAGGAAGGUGCAUCCCUCUCCAAGGUCAAAGUGUGUUGGAGAAGCAUGAUGGCUGCCAAAGCACCAUAGAGCUGUACUGCAUUACUGCUUAAUUCAACUGCGGCUAUUUUGCUGGGACCUGGGAUAGGAGAAACUGGGAAUGAAUAAAGACAUCAAGCAUCAUCAUUUGGAUUUACACAUCAGUUAAUGAAGUGGUAGAAGUAGUGGAUGUGGCUUUUAAAUCAGAAAAUGUGCAGAAGAUGCUGAUGAAAAUGUUUUGGAGUAGAUCACUUUUUGAUACUGAGGUUCUACCAGAUAAAAUAAGGUGCAGCAAAAUUAAUUCUCUGCCAUGCAGUCGGAUGUAGAUGUUUGAUAGUACAUUUCAAAGGCAAUAGCUGGAUUUUGAGCACCAGGAUUGUUGAAUAAAACAGUUCUGUGGAUGAACGCCCAGCAAUCUAUGGUUGGAUCAACUUUUUCAUGAAUAGUAACGGUUCAGGAAGGGGAAGAAAGCAACAGGGAUGCAUUCAUGUGCUGCCAAGAGAGUCAUUAUGGACCCUGAUUCUUACGCACACUUUUAAUUUUACUACAUGGUGA